AUUGAACGCUGGCGGCAUGCUUUACACAUGCAAGUCGAACGGUAACAGGCCGCAAGGUGCUGACGAGUGGCGAACGGGUGAGUAAUGCAUCGGAACGUGCCCAGUCGUGGGGGAUAACGCAGCGAAAGCUGCGCUAAUACCGCAUACGAUCUUUGGAUGAAAGCGGGGGACCGUAAGGCCUCGCGCGAUUGGAGCGGCCGAUGUCAGAUUAGGUAGUUGGUGGGGUAAAGGCUCACCAAGCCGACGAUCUGUAGCUGGUCUGAGAGGACGACCAGCCACACUGGGACUGAGACACGGCCCAGACUCCUACGGGAGGCAGCAGUGGGGAAUUUUGGACAAUGGGCGCAAGCCUGAUCCAGCAAUGCCGCGUGCAGGAAGGAGGCCUUCGGGUUGUAAACUGCUUUUGUACGGAACGAAAAGGCUCUGGUUAAUACCUGGGGCUCAUGACGGUACCGUAAGAAUAAGCACCGGCUAACUACGUGCCAGCCGCCGCGGUAAUAC
rnacentral:rRNA from 1 species